rnacentral:lncRNA from 1 species
UACCACUCACUUACCACUACCUCAAAAAUCUCUCUCACAUUAACGGUCACAAAAAAAAGAAAUUAAACAGCUCACCUCACACUCCACUGAAUACUCACUCUCACUAUCAUCUCUCUCUCUCACACUCACAUAAGACACGUCCCCCUCCAUUCACUCUUCCCCUCACUCAUUCACUCACGAAAAGAAAAACAAAAAAGAAAAGAGAAAGCGAAAAGGGAGAGAAACCUUUCUUCUCCGUUUUACCCUUUUCGUUCACCC